rnacentral:rRNA from 1 species
UGGGGAAUAUUGCACAAUGGGCGCAAGCCUGAUGCAGCCAUGCCGCGUGUGUGAAGAAGGCCUUCGGGUUGUAAAGCACUUUCAGCGGGGAGGAAGGCGAUAAGGUUAAUAACCUUGUCGAUUGACGUUACCCGCAGAAGAAGCACCGGCUAACUCCGUGCCAGCAGCCGCGGUAAUACGGAGGGUGCAAGCGUUAAUCGGAAUUACUGGGCGUAAAGCGCACGCAGGCGGUCUGUCAAGUCGGAUGUGAAAUCCCCGGGCUCAACCUGGGAACUGCAUUCGAAACUGGCAGGCUAGAGUCUUGUAGAGGGGGGUAGAAUUCCAGGUGUAGCGGUGAAAUGCGUAGAGAUCUGGAGGAAUACCGGUGGCGAAGGAGGCCCCCUGGACAAAGACUGACGCUCAGGUGCGAAAGCGUGGGGAGCAAACAGG